rnacentral:rRNA from 1 species
GACAACUCCUGGGCCGCAGCCGAGGUAAUACGGUUGGUGCAAGCGUUAUCCGGAUUCACUGGGUUGAAAGGUUGAGGAGUCGGAGUUGUAAGUCCGUGGUGAAAUCUCCAGGCUUAAACUGGAAACUGCCGUGGAUACUAGAAAUCUUGAAUGUUGUGGAGGUUAGCGGAAUAUGUCAUGUAGCGGUGAAAUGCAUAGAUAUGACAUAGAACACCAAUUGCGAAGGCAGCUGGCUACACAAAUAUUGACGCUGAGGCACGAAAGCGUGGGGAUCAAACAGGAUUAGAUACCCGAGUAGUC